AGCGAACGCUGGCGGCAGGCCUAACACAUGCAAGUCGAACGAACUCUUCGGAGUUAGUGGCGGACGGGUGAGUAACACGUGGGAACGUGCCUUUUGGUUCGGAAUAACUCAGGGAAACUUGUGCUAAUACCGAAUGUGCCCUUCGGGGGAAAGAUUUAUCGCCAUUAGAGCGGCCCGCGUCUGAUUAGCUAGUUGGUGAGGUAACGGCUCACCAAGGCGACGAUCAGUAGCUGGUCUGAGAGGGUGACCAGCCACACUGGGACUGAGACACGGCCCAGACUCCUACGGGAGGCAGCAGUGGGGAAUCUUGCGCAAUGGGCGAAAGCCUGACGCAGCCAUGCCGCGUGAAUGAUGAAGGUCUUAGGAUUGUAAAAUUCUUUCACCGGGGACGAUAAUGACGGUACCCGGAGAAGAAGCCCCGGCUAACUUCGUG
rnacentral:rRNA from 1 species